CCCUUAGAUGUUCUGGGCCGCACGCGCGCUACACUGAUGAACGCAACGAGACCACCUGUACCGAAAGGCAUGGGUAAACUUGUGAAAGUUCAUCGUGAUGGGGAUAGAUUAUUGCAAUUAUUAAUCUUCAACGAGGAAUUCCUAGUAAGCGCGAGUCAUCAGCUCGCGUUGAUUACGUCCCUGCCCUUUGUACACACCGCCCGUCGCUCCUACCGAUUGAAUGGUCCGGUGAAAUCUUCGGAUUGCUGGAUAGGACUUCAUUGACCUAUCUGCGAGAAGUUGCUUGAACCUUAUCAUUUAGAGGAAGGAGAAGNCGUAANA
rnacentral:rRNA from 1 species